rnacentral:rRNA from 1 species
GGUUGAUCCUGCCAGUAGUCAUAUGCUUGUCUCAAAGAUUAAGCCAUGCAUGUCUAAGUUCAAGCAAAAAUAAUGUGAAACCGCGAAUGGCUCAUUAUAUCAGUUAUGGUUCCUUAGAUCGCACUUACUACUUGGAUAACUGUGGUAAUUCUAGAGCUAAUACAUGCGUUGGACUCCGAACUUUACGGUGAGGAGUGCUUUUAUUAGAUCAAAGCCAAUCGGGUCUUCGGAUUCGUUUAGUUGGUGACUCUGAAUAACUUUGCUGAUCGCACGGCCUUGCACCGGCGACGUAUCUUUCAAGUGUCUGCCUUAUCAACUGUCGAUGGUAGGUUAUGCGCCUACCAUGGUUGUAACGGGUAACGGGGAAUCAGGGUUCGAUUCCGGAGAGGGAGCCUGAGAAACGGCUACCACAUCCAAGGAAGGCAGCAGGCGCGCAAAUUACCCACUCCCGGCACGGGGAGGUAGUGACGAAAAAUAACGAUACGGAACUCAUACGGGGCGCCGUAAUCGGAAUGAGUACACUUUAAAUCCUUUAACGAGGAUCUAUUGGAGGGCAAGUCUGGUGCCAGCAGCCGCGGUAAUUCCAGCUCCAAUAGCGUAUAUUAAAGUUGUUGUGGUUAAAAAGCUCGUAGUUGGAUCUCGGUUUCGGGUGAAUGGUGCACCUUGCGGUGUUUACUAUUUAUUCGGACGAUUUUGUUGGUUCGUUCCUGGUUCUCUUAAUCGAGUGCCUUGAGUGGCCAACACGUUUACUUUGAAAAAAUUGGAGUGCUCAAGGCAGGCGCUACAGCCUGAACAUUAGUGCAUGGAAUAAUGGAAUAGGAUCUCGGUUCUAUUUCGUUGGCUUUCGGAGUCGAGGUAAUGAUUAAUAGGGACAGACGGGGGCAUUCGUACUGCGACGUUAGAGGUGAAAUUCUUGGAUCGUCGCAAGACGAACUACUGCGAAAGCAUUUGCCAAGAAUGUUUUCAUUAAUCAAGAACGAAAGUUAGAGGUUCGAAGGCGAUCAGAUACCGCCCUAGUUCUAACCAUAAACGAUGUCGACCGGCAAUCUGCUCUCGUUAAAUUAAUAACUGAGCAGGCGGCCUGCUGGAAACAAGAGUAUUUGGAUUCCAGGGGGAGUAUGGUUGCAAAGCUGAAACUUAAAAGAAUUGACGGAAGGGCACCACCAGGAGUGGAGCCUGCGGCUUAAUUUGACCCAACACGGGAAAUCUCACCAGGCCCGGACACCGGAAGGAUUGACAGAUUGAGAGCUCUUUCUUGAUUCGGUGGGUGGUGGUGCAUGGCCGUUCUUAGUUGGUGGAGCGAUUUGUCUGGUUAAUUCCGAUAACGAACGAGACUCUGGCCUACUAAAUAGACGUCAAGUCUUCU